rnacentral:rRNA from 1 species
CCUACGGGGGGCAACAGUGGGGAAUAUUGGACAAUGGGGGGAACCCUGAUCCAGCCAUGCCGCGUGUGUGAAGAAGGCCCUCGGGUUGUAAAGCACUUUCAGUGAGGAAGAACGCCUGGUGGUUAAUACCCAUCAGGAAAGACAUCACUCACAGAAGAAGCACCGGCUAACUCCGUGCCAGCAGCCGCGGUAAUACGGAGGGUGCGAGCGUUAAUCGGAAUUACUGGGCGUAAAGCGCGCGUAGGUGGCUUGAUAAGCCGGUUGUGAAAGCCCCGGGCUCAACCUGGGAACGGCAUCCGGAACUGUCAAGCUAGAGUGCAGGAGAGGAAGGUAGAAUUCCCGGUGUAGCGGUGAAAUGCGUAGAGAUCGGGAGGAAUACCAGUGGCGAAGGCGGCCUUCUGGACUGACACUGACACUGAGGUGCGAAAGCGUGGGUAGCAAACAGGAUUAGAUACCCGAGUAGUC